GACGAACGCUGGCGGCGUGCUUAACACAUGCCAGUCGAACGCUGAAGCUCAGCUUUUGUUGGGUGGAUGAGUGGCGAACGGGUGAGUAACACGUGAGUAACCUGCCCCCUUCUUUGGGAUAACGCCCGGAAACGGGUGCUAAUACUGGAUAUUCACUGGUCUUCGCAUGGGGGUUGGUGGAAAGGGUUUUUCUGGUGGGGGAUGGGCUCGCGGCCUAUCAGCUUGUUGGUGGGGUGAUGGCCUACCAAGGCUUUGACGGGUAGCCGGCCUGAGAGGGUGACCGGUCACAUUGGGACUGAGAUACGGCCCAGACUCCUACGGGAGGCAGCAGUGGGGAAUAUUGCACAAUGGGCGCAAGCCUGAUGCAGCGACGCCGCGUGAGGGAUGGAGGCCGUCGGGUUGUGAACCUCUUUCGCACAUGGUCAAGCCGAAACAAUGGUUGUGGUGGGGGUAGUGGGUAAAGAAGCGCCGGCUAACUACGUG
rnacentral:rRNA from 1 species